rnacentral:rRNA from 1 species
CCUACGGGAGGCAGCAGUGAGGAAUAUUGGUCAAUGGACGAGAGUCUGAACCAGCCAAGUAGCGUGAAGGAUGACUGCCCUAUGGGUUGUAAACUUCUUUUAUAUGGGAAUAAAAUGUUCCACGUGUGGGAUUUUGUAUGUACCAUAUGAAUAAGGAUCGGCUAACUCCGUGCCAGCAGCCGCGGUAAUACGGAGGAUCCGAGCGUUAUCCGGAUUUAUUGGGUUUAAAGGGAGCGUAGGUUGAUUGUUAAGUCAGUUGUGAAAGUUUGCGGCUCAACCGUAAAAUUGCAGUUGAAACUGGCAGUAUUGAGUACAGUAGAGGUGGGCGGAAUUCGUGGGGUAGCGGUGAAAUGCUUAGAUAUCACGAAGAACGCAGAUUGCGAAGGCAGUUCACUGGACUGCAACUGACACGGAGGCUCGAAAGUGUGGGUAUCAAACAGGAUUAGAUACCAGUGUAGUC